CAGGACACCCAGGCAAUCGCGCAGUUUUGCGAGGAAAGUCCGGGCUCCACAGCACAGGAUGGUAGAUAACAUCUACCCACGGUAACGUGCGGGAUAGUGCCACAGAAAAGAAACCGCCCUGCGGGGUAAGGGUGAAAGGGUGGUGUAAGAGACCACCAGUACCGCAAGUGAUUGGGGUAGCUAGGUAAACCCCAUCCGGAGCAAGGCCAAAUAUGGGUACGCUUGAGGCUAGUGCGGCCGAGGUAUCCGGGUAGGCUGCUUGAGCAUCCAGUGAUGGAAUGCCUAGAUGGAUGAUUGCCACUUUGGCUUAAAAGCAAAGUACAAAACCCGGCUUAUCGGGUGUCCUGUUCC
rnacentral:RNase_P_RNA from 1 species